UCCUCUCUCGACUUUGAUUCAAGAGCUGGUGACUCAAAGCCGCAGGGAUGACGCAGAAUCUGUUCUGGCCAGGGCACAGCAGCAGUGGCAGCUGCAUCCGGUUUCCAGUGGCAGGAGAGACAGCUCUUCUGUGGCAGGGUGCGGUGUCCAGCAUCCAAGGACUUGGCAUUGCAGAUCACGAGAUAGACGAAUUUCCAGCCCCCUUUCCUGAUGGAUACCAUGAACUCACUAUGCCAAGGAUCCUGUUCUCAGAGCAAUAAGGGAAGAACACAUUUUCCAAAAUAUCGAAUUACCCAGUUACACCUAUUCACUUUUGCUAGAAGUCUACACUGAAAUUUGAUGAGCAUGAUGAAGAGGACGACUGCCUACUCCUACGAUGCACCACAGAAAGAAAUAGUACCGGGAAACAAAAACAGAAGUAGUCAAGAAUAGAGAAUGUCUAAUGCCGGCUCUGUUUCUAUUCCAGCAUCCUCCGUGAAGUGCAUAGUUUCCCUUGAUUAUAAAAUAGAGAUAAAUUCUAAAUGUGACAUUACAUAAAAAGGCAUUUAUUUUUACCCCCUCCUCUGCAUGGGGACAGUUAUCUGUCUUCAUCUCAAUGUGAGUUAGAAUAUAUAAUGCCCAAAUAAAAAAGAUUUCAAUUUUCAUUCA